rnacentral:rRNA from 1 species
CACGUAGGGUGCGAGCGUUGUCCGGAAUUAUUGGGCGUAAAGAGCUCGUAGGCGGUGUGUCGCGUCGGCCGUGAAAACCUGCAGCUUAACUGUGGGCUUGCGGUCGAUACGGGCAUCACUGGAGUUCGGCAGGGGAGACUGGAAUUCCUGGUGUAGCGGUGAAAUGCGCAGAUAUCAGGAGGAACACCGGUGGCGAAGGCGGGUCUCUGGGCAACUACUGACGCUGGAGGAGCGAAAGCGUCGGGGAGCGAACAGG